UGCGGAGGGAUCAUUACACAACAAAAUAUGAAGGCCUGGCUUUCGCGGCCGGCUGAAGUAUUUUUUUCACCCAUGUCUUUUGCGCACUUGUUGUUUCCUGGGCGGGUUCGCCCGCCACCAGGACCAAACCAUAAACCUUUUUUUCUUAUGCAGUUUCCAUCAGCGUCAGUAAAAACAAUGUAAUUAUUACAACUUUCAACAACGGAUCUCUUGGUUCUGGCAUCGAUGAAGAACGCAGCGAAAUGCGAUACGUAGUGUGAAUUGCAGAAUUCAGUGAAUCAUCGAAUCUUUGAACGCACAUUGCGCCCUUUGGUAUUCCAAAGGGCAUGCCUGUUCGAGCGUCAUUUGUACCUUCAAGCUUUGCUUGGUGUUGGGCGUUUUUUUGUCUCCCUCUUUCUGGGAGACUCGCCUUAAAACGAUUGGCAGCCGGCCUACUGGUUUCGGAGCGCAGCACAUUUUUUGCGCUUUGUAUCAGGAGAAAAGGACGGUACUCCAUCAAGACUCUACAUUUUUCACUUUUGACCUCGGAUCAGGUAGGGAUACCCGCUGAACUUAAGCAUAUCAAUA
rnacentral:rRNA from 1 species